AUGGGCUGGAAUGGAAAGGUGUUUCAACAUGUUAACCCUAGUCCGCGAAGCUAUAGUACUUCAUCACUCGAAUAAUUGUGACUCUCAGGACUCAUUUAGAAUAGUUUAAAAAUAGUGUUUAUAAGUGAUUUUGAAAGCUAUGGCACCAAACAGGCUCUCAAACAUCACUUUAUAAGCACCUAUAAGCUAUAAUGCUUCUAGCUGCGCGUACACAAAGGAGUAUGACCCGAACAUCACUCCCCUGUCCACCAAGAGCUUUGCAUCUCGGGAAAUGAGCGCAACUUCUGAUGGUGCUUCUAGCUACGG